CGCGGGGUGGAGCAGUCUGGUAGCUCGUCGGGCUCAUAACCCGGAGGUCGCAGGUUCGAAUCCUGCCCCCGCUACCA
rnacentral:tRNA from 2 species